rnacentral:rRNA from 1 species
GGUAGAUAGGUCCAAGGUGUAAGCUCAGUAAUGAGUUCAGCUGAUGGAUACUAAUAGGUCGAGGACUUGACCA